rnacentral:misc_RNA from 1 species
ACACCUCAACUCUCAUGGUUUGCCAUGACGAGCUUGGACUUUGGGGGUCUUGCUGGCCUUAUGGGUCAGCUCCUCUCAAAUGGAUCAGCUUGCCAGUGUUUGGUGGCGUCACAGGUGUGAUAACUAUCUACGCUUGUGGCUCUCCGCCAGAUAACCUUCAGCGAUGGAGGUCCACUGGAGCUCAUAAAUGUCUCUCCUCAGUGAGGACAGCUCUUUGAAU